rnacentral:rRNA from 1 species
GACGAACGCUGGCGGCGUGCUUAACACAUGCAAGUCGAACGGAAAGGCCCUGCUUUUGUGGGGUGCCCGAGUGGCGAACGGGUGAGUAACACGUGAGUAACCUGCCCUUGACUUUGGGAUAACUUCAGGAAACUGGGGCUAAUACCGGAUAGUAGCUCCUGCUGCAUGGUGGGGGUUGGAAAGUUUCGGCGGUUGGGGAUGGACUCGCGGCUUAUCAGCUUGUUGGUGGGGUAGUGGCUUACCAAGGCUUUGACGGGUAGCCGGCCUGAGAGGGUGACCGGCCACAUUGGGACUGAGAUACGGCCCAGACUCCUACGGGAGGCAGCAGUGGGGAAUAUUGCACAAUGGGCGGAAGCCUGAUGCAGCAACGCCGCGUGCGGGAUGACGGCCUUCGGGUUGUAAACCGCUUUCGCCUGUGACGAAGCGUGAGUGACGGUAAUGGGUAAAGAAGCACCGGCUAACUACGUG